rnacentral:rRNA from 1 species
GACGAACGCUGGCGGCGUGCUUAACACAUGCAAGUCGAGCGGUAAGGCCCUUUCGGGGGUACACGAGCGGCGAACGGGUGAGUAACACGUGGGUGACCUGCCCUCAGCUCUGGGAUAAGCCUGGGAAACCGGGUCUAAUACUGGAUAUGACUCCAUGACGCAUGUUGUGGGGUGGAAAGCCUUGUGCGGCUGAGGAUGGGCCCGCGGCCUAUCAGCUGUUGGUGGGGUGAGGCCUACCAAGGCGACGACGGGUAGCCGGCCUGAGAGGGCGACCGGCCACACUGGGACUGAGACACGGCCCAGACUCCUACGGGGGGCAGCAGUGGGGAAUCUUGCGCAAUGGGCGAAAGCCUGACGCAGCGACGCCGCGUGAGGAUGAC